rnacentral:rRNA from 1 species
CGUGUAGGCGGUUGGGUAAGUGGAAUGUGAAAUGCCCCGGCUCACCCGGGGACCGGCAUCCCAAACUGCCCGACUUGAGUAUGGGAGAGGAUGAGGGAAUUCCUGGUGUAGCGGUGAAAUGCGUAGAUAUCAGGAGGAACACCGGUGGCGAAGGCGCUCAUCUGGCCCAAUACUGACGCUGAGGCGCGAAAGCUAGGGGAGCAAACGGGAUUAGAUACCCCGGUAGUCCUAGCCGUAAACGGUGAUCACUAGGUGUUGGAGGCAUCGACCCCUCCAGUGCCGCAGCUAACGCAUUAAGUGAUCCGCCUGGGGAGUACGGCCGCAAGGUUGAA